rnacentral:lncRNA from 1 species
CAUGGAACGCUCAAACGGAUACAUCCAUCCGUUGUGAAUAGGUCCACGACGCAAUGCUUCAUACGGGAGGUGGACAACUAGAUGCUCCAUGACGUCAAAAAGUGAUGGUGGAAAUAUCUUCUCCAGAUUGCACAAUAUGAUUGGAAUGUUCUCAUGAUGUUGUUCGAUAACUUCUUCCUUGAACAUACGUGUGCUAAGAUCUCUGAAGAAUGAUCUGAUGGCUGUAUAUUGCAAAAGUAACCCAAUUAAUAACAUUUCAUAGCAUAUGUACAUAUAUUAUAAAUAAAUAUUUACCUGCAAUUGCUUCAUGUAUAUUUGUUGGAAGGAGCUCGGCAAAAGCAAAUGGAAGUAGUCGUUGCAUAAACACAUGACAAUCAUGACUCUUCAUUCCUGGGAACUUUUGACCUCGUUCAACACAUCUUGACAUAUUAGAAACAUAACCAUCAGGGAACUUAACUUCUGAUGCAACCCAGUCAAACA